CUUUAAUUAGCUUACCUUGUUACUAUUUGUUGUAUCUCUCUCUUUUUUUUCACUGUUUUAGUAUUCUCUUUUCAUUUUUUUCCUACUGUGGGUUACUUAAAAAUGUCAAUAACUGAUUUUUAUUUUUAUUUAUUUUUAUUUAUCUAUCUCUAAAAAAGAGAGCAAGAGAGAAGAGAGAGAAAAUUUUUCUAAUAUUUAUUUUUCAGUUUUCGGUGGACACAACAUCUUUAUUUUAUUUUAUGUAGGGCUGAGGAUCUAACCCAGUGCCCCACACAUGCCAGGCAAGCACAUUACUGCUUGAGCCACAUCCCCAGCCCCAUCUAUAGUUGUUUUUAAGAAUAUGUUUGUGUAUGGACUUUUCUCAAGGAGACGGCUCUAGUGAUUGGAUCAUGUAACAUUAUAUUUCUACUGGAAUUGACAAUUUAUUAGUUUGAGUGAGGUACAGAAAACUUACUCCUCCUCUUUAAGACAUUUUACCUUCUCUUUAUACUGUAGUUGUCUUAAAUAUAUCUGCUAGGUAUUCUGAAAACACAUCAAACAAUGCUAUCAUUUUUAUUUCAAGCAUCUUUAUAACUUCUAAUUAUUUUCUAGCAUUUUCUAUUUUCUGUUUCUCUGCCAAGACUUUGUGUGUGUGUGUGUGUGUGUGUUAGUGUGUGUGUGUGUGUAUGUGUGUGUGUGUUGUGUUGCUGAGGAUGGAACCCGGGGACUAAUGCAUGUUAGGCAAAUGCUCUACCACUGAGGUACACUCCCAGCCCCAUAUUUUUAACCAAUUCAAAGUAUGUUCAUUAUUUCUUGUUUGGACUUUCUGUAACUAUCUUCAACACCUGUCAGCUAUUCCAACUUUUACAUCAUUCCAUUCUUGGCAUUUGCUGAUUAUCUUCUCUCAUUCAAGUAAAAAUUUUCUCAGUUCAUGGUGUGAAAAGCAUUUUCCUAUUGUUUUCUGGGUGCACUGAGUAUAUAAUGAGUCUCUGGACCUUAUUUAAAUGGUUUGACAUAACUUAUCUGAUGCUGCGUGGGUGAAGACAGCAUUUUCUGCCUUAUUACUGCCAGCUAACUCAGCCUCCAUGGAUGCCCUAAGCCUCCAUUGAUACCACCCAGCUAGAAGGGAGCUUAUGACUGUUUCUACUACACAUGUGGCCUUCAAUAAUACUUCUUGGGAGUAAGGCUUGUUAUCAACUAAGAGGUGCCAAAAAUCAGUGGUUCCUACUCAGCUUUCUGACAUACCCCAGAGUAGGGAAUGGAAGUCUAUGCUCCCUAUAUGGUUUCCAGUGACACCACAGAGAAAGGGGCUCUACUACCAUCAAGGAGAAUCAAAGUAACAGAAUCAAAAAACACAGUACCUAACCUGCCAAGAUACUAUUUGUACAUAGACAAGUAGACAUCUUUGCCUGCAGGUGAGAAUACAAGUUUCCCCACUUGGCUAUUGCUGAAAGAAAUGAAGUGGAGAGAGGCAAAUUUUUUUCUUUAGCAUUCUAUGGAGUAGGAUGUUUGUUUGUUUGUUUGUUUGUUUUUGGAAGCUUUGGUUUUGCCAAGUUGACAUUUUUCUGAUACUUUUAACAAAGAGAGCAAAUUUUUCUUUGCAAUUUUUGUUUGUAUUUACCUACAUUUGCAAGAUGUGGGCUUCUCCUGCAUCCAAGGUAACAAAAGCAGAGAGCUCACCACUGUCAUACUGUUUCUUGUGUAUAGCGGUGCCCGGCUUAUCUGCUUCCUAGUAUUUGGCUUUAGAGUUCUUAGGUUUGU
rnacentral:lncRNA from 1 species